rnacentral:rRNA from 1 species
GCCUAAGGAAAAGAUCUUAGGUUAUACCUGCCCAAUGUGUUUUUAUUAAUGGCCGCGGUACUUUGACCGUGCUAAGGUAGCGCAAUCAAUUGGCUCUUAAUUGGGGUCAGGAAUGAAUGGAGUUUACGGGGUUCAACUGUCUCCUGGUUAAUUAUUUGAAAUUACUAUGCAGGUGAAAAAGCCUGUAGUUAGAAAAAGGACGAGAAGACCCUUAGAGUUUCACUUAAUUUGAGUGUUAUUAAAAAAUUGCUCAUUAAUAGUUUAGUUGGGGCAACAUAGGAGCAAUAAGUUGAUUAAUCUCCUAAAUAUAAUUAACCGAUAAUUUUAAAUGUGAAUAAACUACCUUAGGGAUAACAGCAUAAUUUUAAAAAUAAGUUUGUGACCUCGAUGUUGGACUAGGAAACUUAAAGGCUAGCCGUCUUUAAGGUAAGUUCUGUUCGAACUAUGUAUUCCU